rnacentral:rRNA from 1 species
CAGCAGCCGCGGUAAUACWGAGGGUGCGAGCGUUAAUCGGAUUUACUGGGCGUAAAGCGUGCGUAGGCGGCUGAUUAAGUCGGAUGUGAAAUCCCUGAGCUUAACUUAGGAAUUGCAUUCGAUACUGGUCAGCUAGAGUAUGGGAGAGGAUGGUAGAAUUCCAGGUGUAGCGGUGAAAUGCGUAGAGAUCUGGAGGAAUACCGAUGGCGAAGGCAGCCAUCUGGCCUAAUACUGACGCUGAGGUACGAAAGCAUGGGGAGCAAACAGGAUUAGAUACCCUGGUAGUCCAUGCCGUAAACGAUGUCUACUAGCCGUUGGGGCCUUUGAGGCUUUAGUGGCGCAGCUAACGCGAUAAGUCGACCGCCUGGGGAGUACGGUCGCAAGACUAAAACUCAAAGGAGUUGAC